GAGCAGCGCGGGGAUGGGGUGGGGGACCGGUUCCUGCACUACGCUCUGUACGAUCACACUUUGUGACCCCAGCCGCCCAGGAAGGAAAUGCAAAGUGCUGUUUGAAUAAGUGUUCAGGCUCCCAAACUUUGAUCCUCUUCCUGCGGCAGGAAAGGCAGCUGCCCAGGAUGUGGAGAACAACCUCAGGAUUUCGGCUGCCUCUUGGCUCAGGAAUAAGACCUUCUCUUGGGGGCUGCAAGUGAUGUGCCCUGCCUACCAAACCCCGAGUCACUCCAGGCAAAUCCACAGCUUUUCUGCAAGGUGCCACCACCCAGAGCUGCUCUGGCAGGACGUGAUGACUCGCCAAGUGUCCCAGUGCACAGAUCCACCUUCCCUUCCUGAUUGUCUAUCUCCAGCUGGUGGACAGUGAGAACACUAUUUUGUAGCUAUUUGUUCUGCUGAGCAUCCAUUCCUAUGUUGUCCGACCUGUACAGUGAGUUUCUAGAGGACAGAGGAUGGGACAUGUGUCUUAUUGAAUAUUUAUUUAUUUGGCUGGACCAGGUCUUUCUUAGUUGAGACAUGUGGAUCUAGUUCCCUGACCGGGGAUCAAACCUGGGCCCUGAGCAUUGGGAACUUGGAGUGUUAGCCACUGGACCACCAGGGAAGUCCUCUGGGGCACAUGUCUUAAUCAUCUUUGUAUUUUAGAGCAUCUCAGACACAAUGCUUUACACACUGAUACAUACAGUGCUUAAUAAAUUAUGAAUUGAAUUAUCUAUAUAUAUAUAUAGAUCCUAAAAAUUGAGAAUCAUGCUAACUGCCAAGCACAUGGUAUGUGCUCAAUAAAGGGUGAUAACUAUCAUUAACUAUGUAUUUCUUUCUCUUUGAAACUCCCAUAGCAUACACUGAUCACUUUAUCACUUCCAUGACAUUUACCAC